GUGGGGAAUAUUGCACAAUGGGGGAAACCCUGAUGCAGCGACGCCGCGUGAGUGCAGAAGUAUUUCGGUACGUAAAGCUCUAUCAGCAAGGAAGAAAAUGACGGUACUUGACUAAGAAGCCCCGGCUAACUACGUGCCAGCAGUCGCGGUAAUAAGUAGGGGGCAAGUGUUAUCCGGAUUUACUGGGUGUACAGGGAGCGUAGACGGUAUGGUAAGUCAGAUGUGAAAGCCCGGGGCUCAACCCCGGGACUGCAUUUGAAACUAUCAGACUAGAGUGCAGGAAAGGUAAGUGGAAUUCCUAGUGUGGCGGUGAAAUGCGUAGAUAUUAGGAGGAACACCAGUGGCGAAGGCGGCUUACUGGACUGUAACUGACGUUGAGGCUCGAAAGCGUGGGGAGCAAACAGGAUUAGAAACCCCGGUAGUCC
rnacentral:rRNA from 1 species